UUAUUUGAGAGGCAUAUAUAUAUAUAUAUAUAUAUAGAGAGAGAGAGAGAGAGAGCGAGCUCUCAUUUAUCAGCUCACUCCCAAAAUAUCAGUAGUAGCCAGGGGGCCAAAGCCAGGAACUAGAAACUCAAUCCAGGACUUCCACAUGGGUGACAGGGACUCACUAUUUGAUCCAUCACCUGCUGCCUCACAAAGCACACAUUAUCAGGAAGCUGGAGCCAGAUGCCAGAGCUCAGGCACUCUAAUGUGAAAUGUGGGCUCUCAACCAACAUUCAAAUUUCUAGGCCAAAUGCCUGCCCCUUGCCCUGACAUUUUUAAGCAUAUUUCAUUCUAACCCACUUGGUGUAUGCUAUUCUAUUGCUUCUUUGGUAAACCCAAAAACAUAGUUUUCUGACUUUGAAUCACAGGGAGCAUUAGUUAGAGUCCAAAUCCAUUCCUUUUCAGAAAGCAUGUACUCCCUUUGAUAUCACAUAGAAUAUUUAUCUUCUGGGACUUCUCCUUCAUUUUCUCCAGGGCCAAGAGACUUUUUUAACCCACAAGCAACAAAGACAUCAACUAUAACAUAUCUUUCAGAACCUAAGGAGUACUGUUGGGCCAGGUGCCCCAUUUCAUCUCUAUCUUGAUUGGUAAAUAAAGCUCAAUGUGGCCAUAACCCACAUGAAUAGGGUUUUUUUUAUAUGCUAUUCUUGCCUGGUACCAAAUGGGUGUCACCAAAAAUAAACUCCAUGAAUUCAACUCCCAAAAUAUGGAAUAAAGCGAAUCAGGACUGCAGCUAUCUUGGCUUGUGUUAUCCCUAACAGUACUCCACACAGCACUUAAUUUUUUUUCUCUAGCCUGAACAUUCUUAUUUUAUUUUUCCAACCUUUAAUUUUGAAAAAUGAAAUCCAACAGAAAAUUUAAAAGAAAAGCAUGAUGAAAACCCAUAUGGCCUUCAUCUAGAUUCACUUAUCCCUCCCCCAACUCUCUCCAUCCCUCCCUCCCUCUCUCCCUCUCUCCCUCUUUCUCUCUCUCUCUUUCUUUCUCUUUUUCUCUCCCAUAAAUGUCUUUACUCGUACUUGAAAAAGUAUGAGAAAAAUGGAAUUAAAAGACGUUUAUUUUCAUACAAAAAUGAAAACAAAUAAAAAAGAAAGAAAUAUGUCCUCCACAUUCAUUGUAAUUUACUUUUUAAUAUUUGUUUAGUAAAAUUUACCAUUUUAUUUAUAAAUAUCAGUUUUCUGUUACAUUUAUUCAUGUAUAUAUAUAUGUGCAUAUAUUCUAAUUCUUGGGAUUAGAACUGUUUCUGUUUGUUCUCACCCAUUUUCAUAUGUGUGCCGGGUACUUCUUUUCUUUCAGGAAAAUGUGAAAUGAUUGCAAAUACUUGUUGAUAUUCAUUCUCCAGCCCCAUUAAAUUAGUUGGCAUGAGCUUCUAGCAUAUGUUGCCAAAAUUCAGCCAUGGCAAAUUUUUCAUUUUCAAGUAGUUUUGUGGCUUUAAUAAUGGUCCCCCUAGCUGAGUCUUGGGUUCCUGAGUAGCUGGGCUCUUUGUUAAGAGGAUUUCCCACCCUUCAGCCACUCAGUUCAGAUAUAGCCCCAAGUUCAAUCCUGCAUUCCCUGUCCCAUGCCAAUGGUUCUAUAUACUUUCUCUCAUCUUGUCCUAAGAACCCUGUGGGACUGGAAUUAAUGUUGUCAUUCUAAGGAGAGCAAUCUUUGAUUCAGGAGAUUCUUAGGAUCAGAGUUUUUUUUUAAAUAAGAUAAUUUGUAGAUUGUGUUCAUUGUCUCAAAAAAUAGGCAGAAGCACUAGGAGAUUAAGAGUACCUUAAGUUCUUUCAUGGGAUUUGGCUUUACUUAAAGCAGAUAGCUUAUUCCUAAGAGAAGUUUGAGAAUUGUGUGUGUGUAUGGGGGGGGGGGGGGUUUCCAAAUUUAGGAUGUGUUCUCACAGAAAAUAUGCCGCAAAAAUUUUGCCAGUUAACAAUGGGCUCUAGCUCAAGUGCAUUAUAAAAGAGGUCUCUCACUCAAUUACAAACAAUUGGGAUUCUAUUCUUAACUGUGAUAUUUGUUUAUUGAAUAAAUAAAUACUGAAGCCUAUCGAUCUUCA
ensembl:lncRNA